GCUUAAACAGUCAUUCUGGAAUUUCCUGGUCAGCAGUAGAGAGGUAACCUGCCUGACAGACCACUUCUAUCCUCCAAAGAAGGAUGAGGUGUCUCAUCAUCGUCCACAUACUCAGAAUGACAACGCUGUCCACCUCACACUGAAGUUGUGAAGAUUAAAUCAGGCAAUGGACUGGCGUUGGCUCAGAACCCUUCUUUUGCCAGCACAGUGUGAACAAAGCCAUCUCACUGGGACUGAUCCCCAGUCACUAAGCUCAUAAUUCUAAUAAAAAAAUUCUAAUAUAAAAAAAGAGGUCAAUAUGGAUGGGCACUUGCCCAUGCAGACAGACAUAAGAACGGAAGCCAGGUCAAAACCAGCAAUCUGUUUGGUGAGUAUGGAAUCAAAAUGAGCAUAAUUAGUUCUGUUAGAUAUUUCAGGAUGACAUAUAUUCAUUAAUCUAGGCCCACAGCAGGGUUGGUCUUGCCAAUAGAA